CAGAAGACUUACCAAGGAGGAAUAUAUGAAUUUCAAGAUUCUCAUACUAAAGCUAUCUUACCAAAAUCAAAAGCAGUAACUCUUAAUUUUUAAUUUAUAUUUCAAACAAACACCAUUUUCCCAUAUUACUUCAUAAUUUUUUAAAAACUACCAUUCGUUAUUAUUAUACAAAUUUUACAUUUGAUAUUUCUGAGGAGCAGAAGUGUUAUCUAUAAAUGCUUAUCAAUAUAGGAUUCCAUUAUUCUAUAUUAUCUAAGUCUAUGAACUAUAUUUGGAAUACAAGACAAUAUAAUGGAUUUUAUACAUAAUUAUUAUGGAUUAUUACAGAAGAAAUUCCAAGCAAGCAUAUAUGGAUUUAAAGACUUUCAUACUAAAGUGUACUUACCAAAAUCAAAAGCAGUAAUUUUAAAUUCUAUUUUAUAUUUCAAACAAACACCAUUUUCCUAUAUUACUUCAUAUAUUUAAAAAAAAAACUACCAUUCAAUAUAUUAUACAAAAUUCAAAUUUUAUAUCCCCGAAGAGCAGAAGAGUUGUAUAUAAAUGCUUAUCAAUAUAGGAUUCCAUUAUAGGGACAGCACUUCAGCGAAACGAUCGUAAGAUGGUUUAAAAAUUUUAAUUCAAAACUUUUAACUGUCAUUAUUAUAUAUUUACAUAUAUUUAUAUAUAUUUUUAUUUUUAAUUCAACAAUUAUUUUACACACGUAUAUGUCUUUGUGAGGAAUUUUCUAAUACUGAUUUCCUGAUAUUAAUAAUGAUAUAUUAUAUAAAAUAUAUAUUAUAUCAGCAACAAAGAGUUGGUAUUUUAAUGCCUCGACUAAAAAGGUUAUUGGGGUGAUUAUAUCUUUUGUAAGGGAAUUUUUGAGUCUGUGCUCACCACUGUGAAAUUUAAAGUAUUUACUGCGUAAAUCAGAUAUCUUCACAAAAAGAAAAUGACUCUGCCCAGACACAACAGAAUAUGCUUCAACACACGAACUCACAUAAAGAAUCUUGCAAACCAAAUCCAAAAACGAAAUGUAUGUGUAUAUUUAUAUAUAUAAUACACACACAUUAUAUAGGUGCGUAUUUCUCUGUCACCCUCUGUCUGUAUUUUUCUCUAUGCAUGAUGUAUAUGUAUUUAUGUAUGCAUUUAUGUGUAUGUAUAUAUGUUAAUUUGUGUGUGUGCAUGCCUGCGUGUGUUAGUGUGCGUGCGUGUGUGUGUAUGUGUACGUGUAUGUGUGUGUGUGUGUGUGUGUGUGUGUGUGUGUGUGUAUGUGUGUGUGUGUUUUUGUGUGUGUGUGUGUGUGUGUGUGUAUGUGUGUGUGUGUGUGUGUACCCAGUUCACGAUCUGAAAUGUUUUCACUUUCUCCUUCUUCCAGUUGCCGUAAGUUUGACAAAUGCUUAAAGUCUCUACGUGCCAGUUUAAAUUUAAAUACGCCCAGUUUGACUUUGAAGUUCAUUAAGAUUGUCUACGCCUGAAUAACUAAAACAUCUUCACCUUGAAAACGCUUCGGUACUGCAUUAAAAUUUUGAAUAAAGAGCUGACAAAUAGCACGAAUGCUUCCUCUACUUGUCAACUUGUUACACAGCAAUGAUCCUGUAUAAGCAAAAGAUGUCACCUCUUGACAAUCAUCUUACCUCUACAAUAGAUUGCAAACGGUUGUGAAUCGAAAGGAUGUGCUUUAAUUUGAUUGGUUGAUUAUCAAAUCAACAUGGAGGUGGUGUCUUGUGCAACACACGAUGAACAGUGUGUAUGUUGGGGAUAUUUUUCUUGUGCAUGGCAGCACAUCAUCUCUAAUAAAGAAGAAUGUCUGGUGCACAACAGUUAGCAACUCCUGCAAUAUUCCAGAGAACAUCGCAUUUUUUUCAAUUCUUUUCUAAACAAUGAAAAGCUGUUUCACUUAUACUCUUUUACUCUUUUACUUGUUUCAGUCAUUUGACUGCGGCCAUGCUGGGGCACCGCCUUUAGUCGAGCAAGUCGACCCCAGGACUUAUUCUUUGUAAGCCUAGUACUUAUUCUAUCGGCUCCUCUUUUGCCGAACUGCUAAGUAACGGGAACGUAAAUACACAAGCAUCGGUUGUCAAGCGAUGUUGGGGGGACAAACACAGACGCACAAACACACACACAUAUAUACACACAUAUAUAUAUAUAUAUAUAUAUAUAUAUAUAUAUACACACACAUAUUUACGACAGGCUUCUUUCAAUUUCCGUCUACCAAAUCCUCUCACAAGGCUUUGGUCGGCCCAAGGCUAUAGUAAAAGACACUUGCCUAAGGUACCACGCAGUGGGACUGAACCCGGAACCAUGUGGCUGGUAAGCAAGCUACUUGCCACACAGCCAUUCCUGCGCCUAUUCGCAUCUUCUCGAAGUUGUUUCGCUGUUCACAUCAAACAAAAAUUUGCCUUUUAUGCACAAUGGUGCUCAAAUAACAACGACUUCGACUGCAUUAUCUCACAUAUGCCAGAAGAAUAUUUAAACUAACGGAAAGUUGACUCAUCGCUUUCGACUGAAAGCUCGUAUUGUUGAAAAUCAGAUACUAAAGCUUUCUCCGCAUUAUCGGUCAUUUCAUCAUCACGCAUGCAUUUUAGAACAGACUGAGAGUCUUUCGUUAUAAUAAUCUCAGUCACUUCUCUAAUUACUGGUAUGAUGAUCUCCUCAUCAAUGUCAUGCGAUUAUCAUUUCUUUGCGAUACUAACGGAGUCCUUUUUCAUCAUCAACACUGGUGGAGGCUUUAAAACAUGUCUUUAGAGAUUUAGUCGAUUUCUAAAGAUUUUUUUAUUCAUCUCUAGAAAAUCAAGAUCUCUAUUUUACUCACCAGAGAGAACCCUUUCGAGGUAGUCUUUCAUCAUCAGAGAUUUCUUGGCGUUAUAAUAGCAAGGCGUUUCAUAUAGCAAGCCCAUAGUUGUAUUAGUAAACGAAGAUAAGGGUCCAAAUUUCAAAUACUUCUUCAAAUAUCGUCUUUGCUUCUUAGUAAUAUCAACUAAUGCAAAAACGUAUUUAAAAAAUUUUGCUCGGUUUACACAGUAAGUUUACUGGUUCCUCUCUCAUAGCUAAGGGUGUUGAGUAUUUAUUGAUAGUCACUACUGUGUCCCAACAUAAUGGCUUAGCACAGAAAAUGACCCAUAAGGCGGGAAGCUGGCAGAAACGUUAGCACGCCGGGCGAAAUGCUUAGCGGGUAUUUCGUCUGCCGCUACGUUCUGAGUUCAAAUUCCGCCGAGGUCGACUUUGCCUUUCAUCCUUUCGGGGUCGAUAAAUUAAGUACCAGUUACACACUGGGGUUGAUAUAAUCGACUUAAUCCGUUUGUCUGUCCUUGUUUGUCCCCUCUAUGUUUGGUUCCUUGUGGGCAAUAAAGAAAUAAGAAAAUGACCCAGUUGUGACUUUCAUCCUCGCAGUAUCGCAAUCAAAAUUUUCACUGAAUUCUAGAAAAUGAAGCUAAGGCUAAACCAAAAUAUUUCCAGAUGUUACAAGACUACAAUGCUUAUAACCUAAUUAUUGAAUACAAAAACAAAAACUAUAGAGAAUAUGAAUAAAGCCAAAGUCAAUUCAUUUCUGUGGUAACAAAAAUUACGUAUGUUUUACUGUCUUGUGAUUCCAACUAAUUAUAAAAUUUCACCUAAUAACAUCUAAUUUAUUAUGUUCUAAGAAACAAUAUGGAACAGACAAUAGAAACUAAUUAUAUAUAAAUCAGAAAUCUGUAUCGACAAAUUGCAUUUCAUUCUGUUGUUUUAUAUGCUUUUUUCUCUAAAUUGCUUUAGUGAACGUCAGGUUUCGACUGCAAAAUUUCACUCGAUUACUUUUCAACGCUCCGAUAUUUACUGACACCCAAAAGUAGUCUUAUCGACCUAGGGAUCGGUAUAAACCAUUCUGGGGACCUUUACUCUGAACUCUUUUUCUUUUUUACAGAAUCUUUUAGUGGAUUUUAGUUAAAUAUUCAACUCUCUUAUAUUUUAAAAUUAUAUCUAAUGAUCCAAUUAAAUUUAUACUUGUUCAUACAUUUUGCGCUAGUUUUCUACACACAAAUAGAAGGUAUUUGAAUCUAUGAUAUCUGGCACAAAGGACCAGAGAAACUCCAGCCAAUUGGCUGACUUGAAAGAGUUACAGAGUCCUGGGAGAGAGAGAGAGAGGGACCGUUGAAUUACAUGUGAUCAUGUGUUGGGCAUUUGUAGUGAGAUAACAGCCAAUUGUUCCUUUCCUAGUAUUUAGCCGUGUUUAUGUUUGGAAUCAAUAAGCACCAGACGAGAACUGAGAUCAAUUUAAUCGAUUGGUCCCUGCCGAAUAUUUAAUCUUGUGUGUAUGUUUGAAAUCAAUAGCUUCUCAUUCAUCUAAGCCUUUAUAUUAUACUUUCAUGUCUAUCAAUUGACUUUACCAUACUUACUUGUUACAAUCUGUAAAUCUCUUUAAUAAUUCACCAAUACACUUUCUUCUAAAUUCGUCUUUUGUUUUCAACAAUUUCCUUUCAAGUCAAAGGCAUUCAAACUUAGAGUAGUACAGUGGAGUCUCGAUAUACGAACAGAAUUCGGAACCGUGUUCGUUAACCAAAUUGUCUGUUACACGAGUUAUUGAAAUGCAUAUAAAUAGGGGUAAACCGUUCCAAGCCACACUUAAACACGACAUAAAAGAAUAAGAUGAUGUCCUAUUUGUCCAUCAGUCAAUAGCACACACACACACACACACACGUAUAUGUAUAUAUAUAGUUGUUGGUACUCCGUCGGUUACGACGAUGAGUGUUCCAGUUGAUCCGAUCAAUGGAACAGCCUGCUCGUGAAAUUAACGUGCAAGUGGCUGAGCACUCCACAAACAUGUGUACCCUUAACGUAGUUCUCGGGAAGAUUCAGCGUGACACAGAGUGUAACAAGGCUGGCCCUUCGAAAUACAGGUACAGCUGAAACAGGAAGAAAGAGUGAGCGAAAGAUGUGCUGAGAGAGUACAGCAGGGUUCACCACCACACCCGUGUCUAUAUAUGUAUGUAUUCCUGUAUGUGUAUGUGCGUGUUUAUGUGUGUGUGUGUGUGUAUGCAUGCGUGAGAUUUUUUCCUUUAUCUUGCUUCUAUUGACCCAUCGAUCCAUGGUUAUGUUUUUAGCAAAAAAUAUGAAAAGUAUUAUCUUCUGUAUAAAAUCUAUAUGUAUAGACACACACACAAACACAUAUGCACAUACACAAAUAUAUAUGUAUACAUAUAUACAUAUAUAUUCAUAUAUAUAUAUAUAUAUAUAUAUACACAUACAUAGAUAUAUAUACACGUAUAUAUAUAUAUAUAUAUAUAUAUAUAUAUAUGUAUACAUAUGUAUUUGUGUAUGUGUAUGUGCGUGUUUAUGUGUGUGUGUGUGUGUAUGCAUGCGUGAGAUAUUUUCCUUUAUCUUCCUUCUGUCGAUCCAUCGAUCCAUGGUUAUGUUUUUAGCAAAAAAUAUGAAAAAUAUUAUCUUCUGUAUAAAAUGUGAAAAUGUACAAGCUACUUGAAAUGCGUACAUGGGCGUUAGCGAACCUUUUGUGCACGUUCUCCCAGCCACUUAUAUGCGCGCAUAGCCUAGUCAUGGUUCGUUGUUCAAAUUUCAGUUCGUAGGUUAAAUAAAAUUUUGUUCCGAAAAACUGUUCGCCAUACAAUUAGUUCAUUUAGCGUACCGUUCGUAUAUACUCUACGAGUACUUAUGCACCUGCGCAGGCUAAUCGUGGUUUGCUGUUCAAAUUUCAGACGGUUAAGAGAAUGGACUCUCAUGAUAUAAUGGCUUCGAUUAAUGCGAACAUACUGAUUUUCAAAAAUAGGUAAUAGACUAAAUAUGGGUCAGGUGGUGGUGGUGGGGACAAUCGGUUAAAUUGAUCAGCACUUGACUAUUACUUACUGUAUUUGAUGGCUUAUAAGACACACAUUUUGCUUUUAAAGAAGUCUCAAAAAUCACCCUGGGUCUUAAGAGCCUUCUAUAAGUUUUGACGUAACUGAAACAUUUUGUCCUGAACAUGGAGUACAUCUUACAUAUCCAUGUGUUUUUAUGCCAUCGAAUACAAUGUUUUAUUUAUCGUAGAAGGAUUAAAGACAAAAUUGAUUACAGAAUGUAAGAAAGAGGUAACCAGGAACUGUAAAAAUAGAUUUUGUUUGAAAUUCUAUAAAUUUUGGUUGAUUAGGGAUCAUAAAAUUCUGGUUAUAAGUAGGCUCUGGUGUGACUGUGUUGUUGAAAAGCUUGCUAAAAUUAAACAUAUAUAAUAAAUCUGAAUGUCAGUGUGUGUGUGUAUAUAUAUAUAUAUAUAUAUAUAUAUAUAUAUAUUUUUAUAUAUAUAUAGGUAGGAGGGCUCCGAAAGGGGUCUCAUGGAAUAGCGUCCCUGCCUUCCUGAGCUAGUUUCUCAGCACAUUUCUUAAAAAUCGUAGUUGAGGUCUUGGUCUCGAGACCACUCAUGUCUAGAAACCGAUGUUGGUGGGUAAGCAAAGACAUGCUCCCCGGAGAAAAUCCAGCUCCAAAAAAACCUCCCAAAAUAGCAAAGGAAAAUGGGUACCAGCCUGCCCGCCCGCCCAAAGGUUGGGAAUAGGCUGCACUUGCCUACCUCGGUUGCUAUGGCAUUGAGGUAGAACCGGCCACCCCAGUUAACAGGGGCAAAACCCUGAUUUCAAACACUGGAUGAUGAUGAUGAUGAUGAUAUAUAUAUACACACACGCAUGUCAAUGUACGCGAGAGAAUGUAAGUAUGAUGUUAUUCGUAUAAAUAUGAUUGAAUCUGACGUCAACCAAUUAUAUGAUGGCCACGUGAUCUUGCCAUGAUGUUAUAUACUUUCAGUUUUAUAUCGUUCAUAUUCAUCGCAAAUAAUGUUUUUGUGUCACUAUUCCAAUGUAAAUUCUACUCCUUUAUUGUACCAAAACAAUGUUGACCAUUAAUAUAUAUAUGUAUCUAUAUGUAAAAAGAAGCACGUGAUGGGCGUAGAAUGAGCAGUUUAGGUAAUAAGAAUUAAUUAAGUAGAUUCUCAACAAAAAAACACUUCAUCAUUUUGAAACAAUAUGUAAAAUAUUUGACGGCCAAAAAAUUAUAUUCUUAUAUAAUAAUUCACUUAUAUUCUUUUAUUUCUUUCAGUCAUUUGACUGCGGCCAUGCUGGAGCACCGUCUUUAGUCGAACAAAUCGAGCGCGGGUUUUAUUCUUUGUAAGUCUAGUACAUAUUCUAUCGGGUAUUAUGCCGAAGUUAUGAGGAUAUAAACACAGCAACAUCAGUUGUCAAGCAAUGGUAGAGGGACAAACACAGACACAAACACACACACACACACACACACACACACACACACACACACACACACACACACACACACAUAAAUCCCUCGAUUUCAGCUCUUCGUGUUUUUCUGUAGCGAGUAAAUAAUGUGUGGAAAUUGACGAUUUAAAAGUCUGUUAACAGCAUAUUGGCAUACAAAUAAUUUUCUUUAGCCCUUAUUUAUAAGUUAUAUAUAUACACAUAUAUAUAUAUAUAUAUAUAUAUAUAUAUAUAUAUAUAUACAUACAUAUAUAUAUAUAUAUAUAUAUAUAUAUAUAUAUAUAUAUAUAUAUAUAUAUAUAUAUAUAUAUAUAUAUAUAUAUAUAUAUAUAUAUAUAUAUAUAUAUAUAUAUAUAUAUAUCCAAGAGUUAAGCAAUGAAGUAGAUAAAGUCUGGGCUACAUAUGUUUAAAGCGAUCGGAACCUCAGAAGUAGUAAAUAUCUAAACGAGGUGUGUAGUGCAGACUACUCUUCGGGACAAGGUUGUCUUGAUUGUAUGAAAUUUAAUUUGGCGUUAGGAAGCCCUUGUUAACACACGGAACAUUAGAUCAGCACACACACACACACACACACACACACACGUAUAUUGAAAUAAAAAAUGUCGGAAAUGCUUUGAGAGCUUCAUCACGGAAAAAAUAAACACACCAUUAACAUUUUUAACUAAGCAGCUACCGGUUUCAACCGCACUGAGAAGACGAUGUAGUCAUGUUGAAAAAGAAAUGGGAAAAUAAAUUGGCAUCCAUUAAGCCUAUAACUGAUAAAACUCUUGUAUAAGGAAAAUGUGAGGUGUAGUCUGAGUUGCCGUGAACUUGAAUGUGAUGGGUAAGGGGAAAGUUGGAGAUUUACAAGCGGUUGGUGCGGUUUGGUAAAUGAUGAAUAUAUAUUACAAUAGACACUGUAUGCAUGCGUAUGUAAAUAUAUAGGUACAUGCACAUACACACACCACUCACACAUUCACCCACCACAUUCACACACACACACACCACACACCAAUACACACACACACACACACACACACAUAAGUAGCUUUUAAACUACUGAAUGAAAUGGAAGAUGGUGGGAGGAAAACGUAGUUUUAAGGUGAGAGGAGGAGGGUUGGUAAGUCGACAACAGCUGUUCACAUGCAAUACUUCUACUAUCGAUCAGAAAGAAACACUCACACACACACGCAUACAUGCACAUAGACACACAUACAUACGCACACACUCAUAGACACACACACACACACGUCUACUAUAUAAUGAGAAUGCAUGUAUUUAUGUGUGUGUGUGUGUGUGUGUGUGUGUGUGUGUGUCUGGUGUCUUAUAAUUGUCUGUGUGUCUACUUCUCUCAGGUUUUUUUCUGCUGCUGUCAUACAUUUGAAAUGUUAGAAUUAAGUGAAAAUUUUCAAAUUUGUAAUAUUGAUGUAAUUUUUUCACGCUGAGUUCGAUUCUGUUCUUAGUUUAUUCCAGAAAAAUUGUAGAAAGAUGUUACUGAGUUUUAAAGUUUGAUCAUUUUUCUAGAAUCAGAAAACAGGAUUUGGAAGCAGGCAUUUUUGUGCGUGAUAGCUGCGAAUCACAAAAAAAAGCAAAAAAAUUACGACGAUGAAUUUUUAUUAAACAAAAUGAAAGCAAAAAAAUUACGACGAUGAAUUUUAAUUAAACAAAAUGAAAGCAAAAAAUUACGACGGCGAAAGUUGUAAGAAGUUCUGACGUUUUGAUUAGUUCUAAUGAAUAAAGUCACGUAAAAGGGUCGAAGAGACAUGUAAAUAAUUUAAAAAGGAAAAAAAUUCUCAACGAAAUUUUGCGAAAAAUUGUACAAAUCCAUUCUCGUUAAGAGACCUAUUCGUCGAGGAAGACAUGGCCUGACAUGGAAUACAAAAAAUUACUGUUGUGAAAAUUGGCCGGCUACUUUGCUAGUCUUUCAUGAUAUCAAUUCUGGAAGUUCACGUUUUUCUUAUAAAGAUCACAUGAUACUGUAUUUCGUUUCCGUCAGAUUGUUGCUUACACCCCCCCCCACAAGUUAACCUUAGAAUCGUGAAUUAUUUAACGAGCACAUUUUUAUACACAUUUAAAAAAAAUUGAUUGAGUAGUGCUAGAAAGAAAAAAAAAAAAGAUCACUCUGACUACUUUUGCGAUUAUGCCCCAUCAGAUCAGUUAGAAAAUAUAUUUAUUGAAAAAUACAAACCGCACCUGAAUAUGAACGCAAGACAAAUUUUGGAUUUUGUAAAUAUUUUAAUACACGAACGCAUAACCAACACUGAACAUAUUUUAUCUCACUACUUUAACUCAUGAGUUUAUAAAAAUUCACCCUCCCCACGUGCAAUUCCCCCGUCACGAAUAAUAACAAUCACCAAUUACCUCUCAUUAGAUUUUUUUCUACAUGCUGAUUGAUUUACAAACAAACUCUUAUACGAGCAUUAGGGACUAAAAACCUCUUAAGAAAAUACGUAAUUACAAUAUUUUCACCAAUUUCAAUGUCAUGAUUACCGAAACGCGAAACCGGUCGACUGUCAUAAUAGUCUAUCAUUUAAAAUAUAUUAAAAACAUAUAAAUUAUGUGCAUUUUCCUUAUUUUAUUAUAUAUCCACUACAGCUCACCACGUGGGUAAAAUCUCUUCAACGAAAUUCUCUUUUACUAUAUAUAGCACUGCGUUUAAAUUUAUGUAAUAAUUGCAUUGUUCAAUUAAAUGAAGCCGCUUGAAACGGUCGUACUGCAUUACCAUUUGAUAUCCUAUUGCUUAUUUUGAUUUUAUUCACCUUACUUCGAGCUGUGCGGAUAAUACCGGACUGAUUUGGUACUUCAAAUUAAGUACCUAAUUCAACUGAAUCCAACUCACUAAGGCAUGAUAUCUAUCCAAUAUACUGCUGUUAGAAUACCCAAUUAUUAAUACACAAGUGUUUUAUAUUGCAUUGCAAUUAUAUUUCCUAGUGUACUAAACGGGUGAAGAUAAAGAGAUAUUUUACCAUUAAUUUAUGGAGCAAUAAGAACAUGGAAGGGAUCAAGAAGUGGUUCAUCAACUUUUAGACAUUAUAUUAUGUUAACUUAUUUAUUUACUAAACUGAUAAUUACAAUAAUAUACAUACAUAUAACAUAUUAUUCUUUACAUAUAAGAUAUAAAAAUAUAAAAUAUAGUAAUAUAUAAGGAUAAUAAUUACUGGUAUCUUUAUAUAUUACUAUAUUUUAUAUCUUAUAUCUUAUAUGUUAUAUGUAAAGAAUGUGUUAUAUGUACUUAAUUUAUCGACUCCAGAAGAAUGAAAGGCAAAGUUGACCUCGGCAGAAUUUGAACUCAGAACGUAAAGACAAACGAAAUACCGCAAAGCAUUUCGCCCGGCGUGCUAACGAUUCUGCCAGCUGGCCGCCUUUCUGCUUUCGUAUAUCACUGACCAGUGGGUCCUUGCUCUUGAAAUAUUUGAGGAAAACAAUGUCGUUGAACUUGACAUCAACAAAGCUUGACAUUGGGUCGUGAUAGCUUGCGAAUCUCUUAGUUAAGCUGACUCACCUCUUGGCACCAUCUAUCUUUUAUCUCUUGGUUAGGAAUUGACCUCGCAUAUCGCACCAUCGCAGCAUAUGCUAAUAGAGUUCUCUUUAACCUUCUCUCUAUGGGGCUUGUUUCUGUUUUGUACACGCUUCGUGUUUUUAUUAUUAUACUUGCCGUCACAUUCACCAAUGUGCAUUCAUGAUGUCGCCCUUCACUCCGCUAUUUCCUCCUGGAUACAAUCACCAUCCAAACGCAAUGUCAAUAUCUCACAAUGAAUCUACAUUCAGUUCAUCUACGGAGACCUCGAAAACAUUUUCUAUUACGGACAUAAACAUUUCACGUUUUAUUCAACAGUAGAAUACUCUAUCGCCAACACGCAUGCACACACACACACACACACACACACACACACACACACACACACACACACACAUCAUCAUCAUUCAUCAUUGUUCGACCGUGGUCGAGACAAGGGAAUUUACCAUGCUACGCCAGACUUCACGGUCCAUCAUGGCAUUACGGAGGUCCUGUUGCUGGAUGCCUGUAUCCCUGGAGAUUACAUCAGGGUAGGAGAGUGUGCGCCCUCUCACACGUACCCUUUAAGUUCGUUUACGGGGAACGUUUUUUGAGUAGGCAUAUAAAAGAUUCUGUUUUAUUAUUUCGGCUAUGGGCUCGUGAUUCCAGCCUGCAACCACAGUUUUAUGGGAUCGUACCGAGCUGUGCUGAUAUAACGUAGGACAAAUGUAGUAGUACUAAUAAUAAUCCAUGGUUGGAAUUUAUAACCCGCGUUCAUAUAAAUCGUUAAAAUAUUUAUAAAUUUCAUUCUAUAGAAUUCUACUGACAAUUUUUACGUAUAUUUUUCCACGACCCUCAUGUGUAAGACGCGUUCGGUGAAGGAACGGAACAUUCUACGUUUUACAAAUUUGUUAGAAACGCCGUCUACAAGCGUAGGAGUGACUGUGUGGUAGGAAGCUUGCUUCCAAACCACAUGGUUCCGGGUUCAGUCACACUGUGUAGCGUCUUGGACACGUGUCUGCUAACGAUUCUACCAGCUCACCGCCCUAAUAAUAAUCAUAAUAAUAAUCCUUUCUAUUAUAGGCGCAAGGCCUCUAAUUUGGGGGUGGAGGAUAGUUGAUUAUAUCGACCCUAGUACUGAACUGGCACUUUUUUAUCGGCCCCGAAAGGAUGAAAGACAAAAUCACCCUCCGCGGAAUUUGAACUCAGAACGUAAGGACGGACGAAAUGCUGCUAAGCAUUUUGUCCGGUGCGGUAACGUUUCUGCCAAUUCGCUGCCGUAGCAAGCGUCGAUACACCGAAACAAGACAGUUGGAAUUUUUUAAAAAUGUAUCUUUUCAUUUUACUGUCAGUUUUAUAGAUUUGAAUGUUUAGGAACUUGAAUGCUUUAUUCGAAUGAAAUGUAUUUGGCCAAUUAAAUUUACUGAUAGAAAAUUUCAUAUUUCUUUUUUGUGGAACUAAUGUAACUUCACAACACAUCUCAAAACAACAAAAACAAAACAAAAAUCCGAAAGGAAACGGAAAUAGGAUAAAAGUCUAUCAUAUACAUACGUGUACUAAACAAAACUAAUUUAUUAGGCAGUAAUUUGUCUCUGCUAUGCUUAGAAUUCUUUAUGUCCAUCUGUCGCUUGUUUAAUACUGACAUUCCAACUUAAGUUUCAAUGUGAACGAGUGUGAAAUAAGCUGCUUUUUUUCUUCCUUACGUGGAUAAAGACGAAGUUUUGAAUAUACCUUAAAGAUGAAAAAACAAAUGCUAUUUCAAAAAUGUUAUUACGGAAUCGUUUCCUGCACGAAAAAUACCAUGUUGUAUUAAAUCGUAUCAUACACAACAGCAAUAUCUGCGCAUGUCUCCUUGUUUCUGGCAGUGGUUCUGCAAGUAAAAAUAAACCACGACACAAAAGCCUAUCUAAAAGCCAUCCACUUCUCAACAGACCCCAAAAUACAUAUUAAAUCUCAAUAUUUAUUUUAUAAACAGCCCCUAGCUCACAUGCAAUGUGUUUGUUAGUCUCCUUUCAAAUAUAUUAGAAUUCUUGCUUUGUGUGUGUAUGUGUGUUUGUAUGCGUGCAUGUGUGUGUGUGUAUCUAUAUAUACUUAUAUACGCAUAUGUAUAUUUAGAUACACACAUACAUGCAUAUAUGUAUGUAUGUAUGUAUGUAUGUAUGUAUGUAUGUGUGUAUGUAUGUAUGUAUAUAUAUAUAUAUAUCGAUAACUUUGUCGCUAUAGAUUAAAAUAGACUGGCUAACAUAUAUUUACAUAUAUUUGUUUAUACAUAUAUCUUGUAUGUAUGUUUAUGUAUAUAUAUGGCCAGAUUGGAACAAUAUCGAGUAUAACCAGCCGAAAUUGCAAAGAUAAUCUGGAACUCGACUGAGGAAAGAAAACUCCGAAUAACCAGUCCUUGUUUUCUUUGUAUCGUCUAGCUGGAUGUUUUGUUCUCCCUUUUUUGUGUCACCUAACUGUCUGUUUUUUUGCGUUCUUGUUCCAUUUUGUAUAUAUAUAUAUAGUGAGAAUUUACAAAAGCACAGAAGACGAAGACGGGCGUGUAAACGUCAAACAGACGUAAUAGUGUAACGCUCGGGAAGUAAGAAAGUCUUUUACGUUUAGAGCCUACGCUCUUCGACAGAAAGGAAGACAGAAAUAAACAGAGAGAGAAAAUAGAAAAGGUUUAGUGGCUAGCGAUUUAUCAUGGCGAAUGACGGACAGAGGGGUCAGAUAGGAGAGCUAGGAAGAAGGGGGAGAAUCAGAAAAUGAGAAAACUUUUGAUCAAAGACCAAACAAAUUGGACCACAUCUGUAGAUUACUUUUUAAUACAAAACAUGACAUAACAUUUCUAUGACAACAGUUCUUACGGCUGUAACUCUGCUUACCUUUGGCAUAUCUUGUCCACUAUAUAUAUAUAUAUAUAUAUAUAUAUAUAUAUAUAUAUAUAUAUAUGUGUGUGUGUGUGUGUGUGUGUGUGUGUGUGUGUGUGUAUGUAUGUACGUAUCCAUACACAAUUUGCUUGGAGAAUCCUAGAAAACCCAGGCCCCUAUAUAAACGGGACCAAACGCUGUAAACUAUGCAUAACGGAACGGGCGAGGAUUCUAAAGAACUCCCUCGACCUGGGGAAUAUCAUUAACUCCAGAACGGAGGUAUUCGGGCCGUACUUGCAUUUCAGGAAAUUCUUGCUGCCCUAUUGGAACCCACAGGAUAAAAGGUUCACAUCCUCGACAUAAAACCCUUACGCACUGUUAUCCUUCACAAUGAAGGUCUCUUUGCGUUAAAACACUUACUCGAUCUUCGUCCUGUUCCUCAACCCGACAUCUCUACCUUCCUCCGUUUGGUGAUUAGCCGACCGGUUUGCCGAACUUCUCCGGAACAUCAGAUUCAGCAAUGAUACCCCGGUCUCGUGCCACUUUCUUUUGACCGGUCAUGCGUUACAACAUUUGUCUGUGUUCAGACUGGCCUUGUAACAGAGGCCAGACGGAUUCCUGCUUCCGUCGAGAGCAGCAAUUGAUUUUUUUCUUUAUUCCUCAGAUUCUUCACGGUCUCAAUUCGUCACCCCUCUUCAUCUAAACCCACAUCUACACACACACACACACACACACACACACACACACACACACACACACACACACAUAUAUCUAUCUAUCUAUCUAUCUAUCUAUCUAUCUAUCUAUCUAUCUAUCUAUCUAUCUAUCUGUCUGUCUGUCUAUCUAUCUAUCUAUCUAUCUAUCUAUCUAUCUAUCUGUCUAUCUAUCUAUCUAUCUAUCUAUCUAUCUAUCUAUCUAUCUAUCUAUCUAUCUGUCUAUAUAUCUAUAUCUAUAUAUCUAUCUAUCUAUCUUUCCCUCUCUCUCUCUCUAUCUAUCUAUCUAUCUAUCUAUCUAUCUAUCUAUCUAUCUAUCUGUCUGUCUAUCUAUCUGUCUAUCUAUCUAUCUAUCUAUCUAUCUAUCUAUCUAUCUAUCUAUCUAUCUAUCUAUCUAUCUAUCUAUCUAUCUAUAAUUGUGUAUGUGUGUGUGUGUGUGUAUACCCUCAGCUGAAGGUAGAUGCCCUCUCUCCAGUAACAACAAGCCACAGUAAUUUUGAUUGAAAUGACAGGUAAAGCUGGCAGGGUCAUAACAAAUUUAACCUUUGACCUUAUACAGUGGAAACAUCUGUUUAGUUUUCGAGUUGGAUCUGUCACUAAACAAGUGUAUUAUGGAAGCAGACACAACAUUUUAGAAUUGUUAUUACAGCUGUAACUGAAGUAUAUAUUUUAAUGCUCGUGUGCAUUAGCAUACAUCUGUGCACCCGCGUAUGUAUGAGCAGGGUGAAGGGGAGAGAGAGAGAGAGAGAGGGGUAGGGAGAGGGAGAGAGUUAUGUACGUAUGCAAUGUGCUUUUCGAAGGUGAACGACCGAAUCUAUUGGUUGCAUGCAAGUUGUCAGUGGCAUUACAUAAUGUGUUCCAAUUUCCAUGUAAUUUCCAUGUUGUGUGAUUUAUGCAAAUUGCUUGAUACGCAUACAUACGCACACAUACAGACACAUGCAUACAAACGCACAUUUACACUUAUAUAUAUAUAUAUACGAGAGCGUGCUGAAAAGUUCCUGGCUUUGGGUAGGAUCAGUUAAUUAUGAUUUUAUUCAACAUAUUCCCCUCUCAGAUUCACACACUUAUUGUAGUGAUUUUUCAGUUUUUUUCUAAGCCCUGUAAAAAACCUCGGAAAGUUGGGCCUCCGACCAGGCUUUCAGGAACUUUUCAGCACCCCUCGGUUACAUAUACAUACAAAUAUACGCACACACACAAGCACACAAGAACAGGCAGACAGACACACACACACACACACACACACACACACACACACACACACACACACACACACACACACACACACACACACGCACGCAUAUUCCUGUUCAUCCUUGUCAUAAAAUCUUUAUAUAGUGUUACCCUUCACAAUGAAGGCCUCUUUGCAUUAAAAUACUUACUCGAUCUUCGUCCCGAUUCUCAACCCGACAUCUCUACCUUCCUCCGUCUGGCGAUUAGCCGACUGCUUUGCUGAACUUCUCCGGAACAUCAGAUUCGUGCUACUUCCGUUCGACCGGUUAUGCGUUACAGCAUUUGUCUGUGUUCGGACUGGCCUUGUACAGAGGCCAGACGGAUUCCUGCCUCCGCCGAGAGCAGGAAUUUAUUUCUUCUCUUCAUUCCUCUGUUCUUCAUAGUCUCAAUUCGUCACCCCUCUUCAUCUAAACCCACCUUCACACACAUUUACACACACCAUCCACUUCCCACCUUCCACUGUCUCCUCCUCUACUCCCACAAAACUUUACUACACCGUUAUACUUAGCACCCAUACCACACACACAUGCGCACUCAUGUGCAAACGCUGCUACACACAAGCACUUGCACACACACAUACACACACACACAUCUGAUAGCCUCACACACUCAUCUGAUAGCCUCACACACUCACACACUCACACACAAAACGGCAAAUAUUAGAAUAAGAUUUAGUAUAAUCUAACUUGGUCCAUAAUGAAACACACACACACAGAGCCGUACAAUAUCUUUUCCAGGAGAUGCAGACUCUGCUCCGAGGAAUUGUUGUCUAUUUUGUGGACUAUGAGGUCGUUAAUAAGAUUUCUGACGCUUGCAUGCUUAUGAAUGUACUUUCGCAUAAAGCAGUGGGAAUGAAUUUGAGUAAUCGUUAACCAAUUUAAUAAUCACAAUUUACCUAAAUGUAUGCAUGAAUUAACCCCAGCCUCCCCAUUCUUAUAAACACAAUGCCACAAUAGUUACCAAUAUCACCCUGAUAUCCCUUGGCUAUUGUAUACCGAUUAAUGAGAUAAAUUUUAGCUUCAUCCUUUCUAUAAGUCGCGCUCACCGUGAGAUGAAAACGUAAACAAAAUUACGCUUAUCUACUCUGGUGAUCCUAACACUGGCAUUGAUAAUUUCUAUAGACUAUCGGUUAUUUCAUUUGCCGUUCAUACACAAAAUUCACGUCUAUUAUUUCUGUACUAGCAGCAUAGCCCGGCGUUGCCCGGUAUGUAAGAGCCCCUAGUAGGCAACGACUAAUCCCAAUCUAGUCCUUUCCCUCUAGGGAACGAAGGCGCAUGUGUAGGUUGCAAUGUCUUCUCUUCACUCGAAUACUUCUGUGUAUAUGAUGUUCCUAGCUGUCCCUUUGGGCGAUAAAAAGGUCGAGUUGUGUCCCCUAGACAGAAAAUGUGUUGCAUAUAAAAAGCUUAGAUUCUCGACCCCAUGUCGAAUUUAUCGAAUUUUUUCAGAACUGGGGCAACUUUUCAAAAUUUUCGCUGCGUUAGUUUUGAAUUAUGACAUUGGGCUAUGUGUGUGUCAAGUUUAAUCAGAAUCGGUUGAAAACCGUGGUCAGGGUGAGGGUACAACCUGACAGACACACAGACACACAGACAGACAAACUGCCGUUUAUAUAAAGAGAGAUUUACGCACAUAUUCACGACUCUGCAAGAGCUAAAAGUAUAUUGGCCAGAUCUCGUGAACCUCUCUACAGACUUUGUUACUCUUCACCAAGUGAAGUCAUAUCACCAGCCACUUUUAGGCACUGACUACAUUAAUAUCUUUUUUAAUUCGCUGUGUGAGCGUACGUGCACCAAACCAAGCAGUGCGUAUGCUUAUAUCUUCGUGUAAAUUUGUACGAGCGAGUGUACGUGCGCCAGAUAGCGUAGGCGAGGGCAUUUGUACAUCAAUAUCUACAAACGGUUACAUCUAAUACUUUUUUCGCUGCAUUGUGCACUUGCUUCUCUUUGCAUCUGAUAAAAUGAAUUAUUGAUCUUCUACAAUAAUGAAGCGGUAUCCCUUAAUAUGCUGCCUUUGUGAACAAAUACCGAGAAGAAAUCUUGCGCAACAGACGUUAUUUUAACGAGAUACAUCUUGUAAUCACCCGAGGAGACACAUCUACGCCGACAGAUUACACCUUAACCAGAUGUUCAGUAUCUCACCCGUGAGGGAUCGAUGCUAGAUGGGUGGAAACAGUUGCAGUGAUCAAUAAACUUUAAAGAAUCUACUAUCUUCCGUCUUUCUCAUUAAUCCCAAGGAAUACUGAGAAAGUGAACAUACUUUACCGGUAAACUACCAGGUGUAGAUUUGUUAACUAAUAUAUAUAUAUAUAUAUAUAUAUAUAUAUAUAUAUAUUCAAGCAUAUAAGGGAUGGCCAUAAUAGGACAUCCGACUCACUAGAAAGAGCAGCCAAACUCCAAACCACUAAUAGUUGUAAUUCUGAAAUGGAAAGAGAAAUAAAAACGUUUACCCUCUCCUUUCUGGACUAUGCAUAGUUUCGGCAAUCUUUUGUACAUAAAUUAAUUUAUUUACCACUGGCGUUGCACUCAUCAGCAGAAAAGCCAAGGACUAUAAUAUAUCCAAGAGGCGAUGAUAAACAUGCCUCGAGUCUAUAUGCUAUAAAUUUUCAAAAUCCACCACGCUCGCGCGGUUUUCUCAGCAGUAAAUAUAAACUGCCGAUUUAAUUUCAAAAUUAGCCAAAAUAUUAUUAAUUAAUAAAUUUUAGGUUAUAUAUAUAUAUAUAUAUAUAUAUAUAUAUAUAUAUAUAUAUAUAUAUAUAUAUAUAUAUAUAUAUAUGAGAGUGGCUAUGUGGUAAAAAGUUUGCUUUCCAUCCACAUGGUUCCGGGUUCAGUCCUAGUGCGUGGCACCUUGGGCAAGUGUCUUCUACUAUAGCCUCGGGCCGACCAAAGCCUUGUGAGUGGAUUUGGUAGACAGAAACUGAAAGAAGCCCGUCAUAUAUAUAUGUAUGUAUGUGUUUGUGUGUCUGUGUUUGUCCCGCCACCAUCGCUUGACACUGAUGUUGGUCUGUUUACGUCCCCGUAACUUAGCGGUUCGACCCAAGAGAACGGCAGAAUAAGUACUAGGCUUCGACUAAAGGCGGUGCUCCAGCAUGUCCGCAGUCAAAUGACUGAAACAAGUAAAAGAGUAAAAGAGAAUAUAUAUACACACACACGUAUCACAUCACAUAACAUAUUUAGCGAACUUUGAACUGUAGGUGGGUGGCGAGUUCUCGGGGAAUUACUAUUGCGACGCUGAUUCGAGCUCUCCCUCUGUAUUUUCUUAGAAAUGGAUAUAUUCGAUGCUGUGGUCAGUCCAGGGUUCUUUGCAUAUUGGAAAGAGUAGUUGGGUUGAACUUGCAAAUGGUUAAUCAUUAAAAGAGUGGGAGAUAAAGCAAACAAGUAUUUGGGAGUCUUUGAGAUGGACAAGAUCAAAGAGAAAGAAAUGAAGAUAUUCAAAAAGGAAAAUCUGGAAGGGUGAGUUUGUAAUGCCGUCUAAAUUGAAUGGAAGAAAUAAGUUGAAGAGCCGUGUCUGUCAUGUUCUACAGAGCAGAAGUUAUUAAAUAGGGGAUAGGCGAAUUAGGAAGUAGGAACAUGAGGAAUUUGAUGGCAGAGUGUAAAGAAAUCCAUCCAAGGUGUGAUGUUACAAGACUUAAUGUUUGAAGGGAGAAAGGAGUUAGAGGAUUAAUAAGUUGUGAAAACUGUCAAAAGCGAAGGAAACGGCUUAGCUUGCUUCCUUAAAAAAUGUGAAGGGUAACACCAUGUCAAAGGAGACCUUGACAUACUGAAAUCAGCCGAUUCAGUAAUACCGAAUGAGUACAAGAACUUGGAAAGGAAUGGAAGGAGAAAAUUAUACACGGGUCGUACUGUAGAGAUAAAGUAGCCACUAAUUGGGAUAAGAGUUGGUAGGGGUUUAGAAACGGUGACCUGAAAGGAUGCACGGAAGCCCUAGUGUGUAGCGUCCAGGAGCAAGCCUUCCGAUCUACGUUAAACUUCAUGUUGACAAAACGAAAGUGUCGCCAUUAUUUAAAAUGUGUGAAACAAAAAGGAGAAACGGCAGGUCAUCUUGUAAGUUGGCACAGCGAAAGUACAAAAGACGAUAUGAUAAUGUUAUCAGAUAUAUUCACUGGAUGAUAUCUGGGUUUGCCAAAGCAGCUAAAUGAUAUCAGCAGAAACCAGAAAGCCUGUCAGAGAAUGACAAAUUUAAGCUUUUAAGCCAAAUAUUGUAGUAACCAACGAGAAAGAAAAAGAGACCCAAAUUAUCGAUAUUUCUAUCCCAGAUGAUAGCAGAGUGAGAAAUAAAGAGCAUAAAAAGAUGGAGAAGGAUAAGCCAGUGAAAGAAGAGGUUGGGAAGUUGUUGGGGGAUGAAGAUGUUAAUGAUACCAGUUGUGAUCGGAGCAUUGGGUUGGAUAACGGACAGUUUCGAGAAUGAGUAAAUAAAAUUGGCAUUGACGCAACAUUACAGGACAUGCAAAAGACAGCAGAUCUUUGUAUAGGAAGGGUUUUAAGAAAAGUCUUGUCUAUGUAAAGCCCAGGAGAGGAAGUAAUAAGGGACCAGUAUCAAGUGAAAUGUCCGGAUUGUUUCAUAUGUAAGUGUCUGAGAUUUACAAAAACCUAAAAGUAAAUCCAGGGUUCUCUGCAUAUAGGGAUAUCAGGAUAACCUAAAUUUGAGACACCAGCAAAAGAAGAAAUAAAAAUAGACUUUUUUCUAUUCCAAAGAAAACGAUUUUACUCACACAAAUAUGCAACCGAAGAGGUUAAAGUACCAGUAAUGAUAAGGCUGUUGACUGGGAGAACACAAACAUGGUUUAAACAGUAAGCUUGGCAGGAAAGAAACGUGCCUUUAAGCAGUACAAAAACAACAAAAAAUGGAAGGUGCAGUUAUGUACAGGUUGACGGAAGAAAGGCAGGACAAAAACGGCUUUAUCGAUCGCAUUCUCACUUGGAAUCGAUUUUUGUAAUUUUUUCAAGACUUAUACUCGCCCUGAUACCGUUGGUAUCUACAUAUCAAAUUUGAGCGCAAUCGGAUGGAGGAUGCCCGAGAUCCGAGAAGACACACACACAGACAGACAGAACGGAUUUUAUAUAAGAGAUUAUCAUCUGUUGGAACUGAUACUUCGAAUAAGAAUUUUCUUCUAACGGUAUUCAUCAUAUCAAAUAUUUGGUUAACUAACUGCAAUCUCCUCGUGUGUAUGCAUGUAUUGAGGUAUCCCAGAGUAUGGUCACAAUGUUACAUUUUGAGACCUUUUCUGGCGUAAUCUUACACCAUCUUAUUUCUGUUAUCUUUCAUAAAUUCAUAACAUUAGCCUCACCUUCAAUGUAUGCCCUCCACCUUGUACACCGUAUUUUCCGGCAUACAAACCGAUGAGUGUAAACAUACAGUGUAAACAUGUGUGAAUUUGUAUUGUAAGCAUUCAAAUAUCGUUACAAUCUUUCCAAAUCCUAUUACAUUUCACAUGGAAUUUUACUCCUCCAAAUUCGUGUUGGUGUAUAAGACGACCUACCCUUUUUUUUUUUUUUUACAAAUUUUGAUGUGAAAAAUUCGACUUGUAUGUCGAAAUAUAUUGUACAUAUUGUUGCUCAGUUAAAUAAGAGCAGCCAGAAACAGCGAGAUUCAACUGCAUCUUCCCCACCUUCAAAUAUUCUCAAGUUGUUUAAUUUCAUCUACUUCAUUAAAUGCGUUUUGCAGUUUCUGGUGGAGAUUUA
rnacentral:lncRNA from 1 species